rnacentral:rRNA from 1 species
GGAGAAAAGCAGGGGAUCGCAAGACCUUGCGCUAAAGGAGCGGCUGAUGUCUGAUUAGCUAGUUGGUGAGGUAAAGGCUCACCAAGGCAACGAUCAGUAGUUGGUCUGAGAGGACGGCCCGCCACACUGGGACUGAGACACGGCCCAGACUCCUACGGGAGGCAGCAGUGGGGAAUUUUGGACAAUGGGCGAAAGCCUGAUCCAGCCAUGCCGCGUGAGUGAAGAAGGCCUUCGGGUUGUAAAGCUCUUUUAGUCGGAAAGAAAGAGUUGCAAUGAAUAAUUGUGAUUUAUGACGGUACCGACAGAAAAAGCACCGGCUAACUACGUGCCAGCAGCCGCGGUAAUACGUAGGGUGCGAGCGUUAAUCGGAAUUACUGGGCGUAAAGGGUGCGCAGGCGGUCUUGCAAGUCAGAUGUGAAAGCCCCGGGCUUAACCUGGGAAUUGCGUUUGAAACUACAAGGCUAG